rnacentral:rRNA from 1 species
AUUGAACGCUGGCGGCAGGCCUAACACAUGCAAGUCGAGCGAUCGGCGGACGGGUGAGUAAUGUCUGGGAACCUGCCGGAUGGAGGGGGAUAACUACUGGAAACGGUAGCUAAUACCGCAUACCAUCAGAUGUGCCCAGGUGGGAGUAGCUAGUAGGUGGGGUAAAGGCCUACCAAGGCGACGAUCGGUAGCGGGACUGAGAGGAUGAUCCGCCACAUGGGGACUGAGACACGGCCCAGACUCCUACGGGAGGCAGCAGUGGGGAAUAUUGGACAAUGGGGGGAAGUCUGAUCCAGCAAUGCCGCGUGUGUGAAGACUGCCUUAUGGUUGUAAAGCACUUUAAGCGGGGACGCGUUACUCGCAUAAUAAGCACCGGCUAACUCCGUGCCAGCAGCCGCGGUAAUUC